rnacentral:rRNA from 1 species
GUGGGGAAUAUUGCACAAUGGGGGAAACCCUGAUGCAGCAACGCCGCGUGAGUGAUGACGGCCUUCGGGUUGUAAAGCUCUGUCAUUAGGGACGAAAUUGACGGUACCUAAUGAGGAAGCCACGGCUAACUACGUGCCAGCAGCCGCGGUAAUACGUAGGUGGCAAGCGUUGUCCGGAUUUACUGGGCGUAAAGGAUGCGUAGGCGGAAUGUUAAGUCAGAUGUGAAAUACCCGGGCUCAACCUGGGGGCUGCAUUUGAAACUGGCAAUCUAGAGUGUGGGAGAGGAAAGUAGAAUUCCUAGUGUAGCGGUGAAAUGCGUAGAUAUUAGGAAGAAUACCAGUGGCGAAGGCGACUUUCUGGACCAUAACUGACGCUGAGGCAUGAAAGCGUGGGGAGCAAACAGGAUUAGAAACCCGAGUAGUCC